rnacentral:rRNA from 1 species
AGCACAGAGAGCUUGCUCUCGGGUGACGAGCGGCGGACGGGUGAGUAAUGUCUGGGAAACUGCCUGAUGGAGGGGGAUAACUACUGGAAACGGUAGCUAAUACCGCAUAAUGUCGCAAGACCAAAGUGGGGGACCUUCGGGCCUCAUGCCAUCAGAUGUGCCCAGAUGGGAUUAGCUAGUAGGUGGGGUAACGGCUCACCUAGGCGACGAUCCCUAGCUGGUCUGAGAGGAUGACCAGCCACACUGGAACUGAGACACGGUCCAGACUCCUACGGGAGGCAGCAGUGGGGAAUAUUGCACAAUGGGCGCAAGCCUGAUGCAGCCAUGCCGCGUGUGUGAAGAAGGCCUUCGGGUUGUAAAGCACUUUCAGCGGGGAGGAAGGCGAUAAGGUUAAUAACCUUGUCGAUUGACGUUACCCGCAGAAGAAGCACCGGCUAACUCCGUGCCAGCAGCCGCGGUAAUACGGAGGGUGCAAGCGUUAAUCGGAAUUACUGGGCGUAAAGCGCACGCAGGCGGUCUGUCAAGUCGGAUGUGAAAUCCCCGGGCUCAACCUGGGAACUGCAUUCGAAACUGGCAGGCUAGAGUCUUGUAGAGGGGGGUAGAAUUCCAGGUGUAGCGGUGAAAUGCGUAGAGAUCUGGAGGAAUACCGGUGGCGAAGGCGGCCCCCUGGACAAAGACUGACGCUCAGGUGCGAAAGCGUGGGGAGCAAACAGGAUUAGAUACCCUGGUAGUCCACGCCGUAAACGAUGUCGAUUUGGAGGUUGUGCCCUUGAGGCGUGGCUUCCGGAGCUAACGCGUUAAAUCGACCGCCUGGGGGAGUACGGCCGCAAGGUUAAAACUCAAAUGAAUUGACAGGGGGCCCGCACAAGCGGUGGAGCAUGUGGUUUAAUUCGAUGCAACGCGAAGAACCUUACCUGGUCUUGACAUCCACAGAACUUAGCAGAGAUGCUUUGGUGCCUUCGGGAACUGUGAGACAGGUGCUGCAUGGCUGUCGUCAGCUCGUGUUGUGAAAUGUUGGGUUAAGUCCCGCAACGAGCGCAACCCUUAUCCUUUGUUGCCAGCGGUUAGGCCGGGAACUCAAAGGAGACUGCCAGUGAUAAACUGGAGGAAGGUGGGGAUGACGUCAAGUCAUCAUGGCCCUUACGACCAGGGCUACACACGUGCUACAAUGGCAUAUACAAAGAGAAGCGACCUCGCGAGAGCAAGCGGACCUCAUAAAGUAUGUCGUAGUCCGGAUUGGAGUCUGCAACUCGACUCCAUGAAGUCGGAAUCGCUAGUAAUCGUAGAUCAGAAUGCUACGGUGAAUACGUUCCCGGGCCUUGUACACACCGCCCGUCACACCAUGGGAGUGGGUUGCAAAAGAAGUAGGUAGCUUAACCUUC